UAAUCGUGGAGAGGAGUGGAGGAAACAAUAAAUAAACCAGGGCCUAGUGGAGCAUCCUUCCCCUUGGUGGGGGGGGUUGUCCACCUUCACCCAGUUGGCCGCUGCGCAAUGGCUGACUCCUGCUGCGGGGGGGGGCUGAAAGGUCGGCCGGAAGAUGCGAUCUGCGUCAAGGUUACCGGGGAGGAAGGUCCGCACAAAACCGGCUCCUCGCUCCACGCGCGUGUUUAACGUGCAAAGCGCGUCACCGGGACGCCGGCCCGCGCGUUCGGCCGUGAACACGCGUGUAGAAUUUAUUCGCUUUUCGCGUAUGUUUGUUUUGACACCGAAUAGAUGCUGUUGUGACCCGAGAAGCAGCUGUGCUAUUCUGGGUCCGUGGCACAUCGCACCAUAAACGUCCCUGCAGCGAAGCAGCGCGUUUUGCAUCAGGGUCACGUGGUGCGUUAAGCCCCGCCCCAUGAACGAAAGUAACCCGAGAUGGGCCGAUAAAAGGCUGAGCGACAGCAGCGAGGUUGGAAGGCGCAAAAAGACGGUACAGGUGCGUCUGCUGGAUGAGAGCCGCCUCCUCAGAGAGCCACAGCUUGAACGCGAAACGUCGCUAAACUGUUUCUUCACGUCUGAGAGCGCGUAGAGCUUCCACCAGCACGACGCCACCCGCAUCCACCGCCACCAUCCGCGGGUUUAUUCGUCACAAAACUCCUUCACCGCUUAAUGUCUUAAUGUGCCGCUGUCAUGUGACUGACCUGAUUAAAUGAGUCGCCUCUAAUCUGUCA